CUUGGCCCAGUUGCCAUAUUCAGAAAAUGUAAGCAGUCACAGUUAUUGGGUGCCACCAAAUGCAUCCCAGUGUCUUGUCCCCACAGUUUCUUCUGCAAUCAUGUCUUUUGUGCAGCUCAGCAGAUGAGUUAUGGAGGAAACAGAGUGUCAGUAUGCCAGGGCUGGUGGGGUCAACCGUCCUGUUUUUAAUCACAAUGGGAAAAGCCCCCGCUUUUCAACUGCAUUGCUAAUAGACUAUUUCCUUUCAGUGUUCUUAUUCUCUGUCAAAAGUGACUCUCUACAGUGGUGCUUACUUUGGGAAAAUUCACUGAGCUGUACCCUGGUGAUCUGUGCAUUUUCGAGCACCUUGGCCCUAAGUCUAAACAGAUGGCUGUGCUCGCCUGCAAAGGAGGGUCUCUGACCAGAGUUGUCGACAAUGGACACGUGUCAAACACAACGAAAUAAUAAAGUAAGAUAAAAUAAAAACUUUAAACCAAUAUUCUUUAAAAAGGUAGGUGGGGGAUGUUUCAAGGGUGGGCUUUAGAGUAAACCAGGUCUGGAGUUGGCUAACUGAUACUUGCUAACUGUGUCGUCUUUGCUGAGAUACUUCAUUUCUUUGCGCCUCAGUUUUCUGAUUUGCACAAUGGGAACAAGGUUAUUGUGAGGAAGGUAUUCCAUUUCUCACUUAAGGUCACCACAUGAAGGUUUCUCACUCUGUAACCCUGGUCCCCCUACUGAGCCCACUCCCUCCUCUGAUCUCUUAAAACCAAUCUUUUCGUACCACCCCGUCUUAAUAGCUCCUUAGCAACUAGAUACACACUUCCUGUGUGAGGACGAUGUCUUACUCUCAAAGGUCCUAUGCUUUCUGGAAUUAGCUUAAUAUUCUGUGUUAUUCUCCGCUUAGAUCUACUCAGAGUCCGGUCCCUGAAGAAAUGCAUACGCUCAUGUGUACACGUAAGUGCAUUUAGGAAUCCUUGCGUAUAUUCCUCACAAUGUCUGACACAUCGGGGUGGACCUAGUGUGAUAAUAGAUUUCUGUAAAUAUUGAGUGACCACAUGACUUUUGGAAGAAAAGCGCUGGACUUUUAGGAGGGAAAAUCUGCAUUAUAAUGAAAAGGCUGAACACAUUUGGGAAACAUUUAGAUUUUGGUAACAGGUUAGGCAAGUGAUCAAUGUUACGAAAGUUCUUGAGCAGGACCAUGGGCAAGCCUGAACACAGCCGCUUCUGGGGAUGUUAUCUGGAUAACCAGGACUGGGAGCCACACCCCGCAGCGCCUCACUUGCAGGCAUUGAGAAGCCUUUACUGCCCUCAAGUGGCCUCUUUUGGCACUGCCUUUGAGAGGAUCCGCCCCUGAGUUAAACUUUGGAUUACUGGCUGGGAAGGUCUCAGGCGGUCAUCUUGGUCACCUAUACUCACGCCCCAAGCAACCGGGAAGCCAAUCGUAGAACUUGUUUUUCAAGCUUUUGCGGCCAUUCCAUCUCUAAAUUCCCGCGUUGUUUUAACAAGGGCCACUGUAGGGUUUUUUCUCCCUUGUGUCUUUCUAAUCCUUAGAGCAGCAGCUGUAGGCAGCCUGCGCAUCCUGGUCCGUGA